UGGCUCAGGAUGAACGCUGGCGGCGUGCCUAAUACAUGCAAGUCGAGCGAACUGAUUAGAAGCUUGCUUCUAUGACGUUAGCGGCGGACGGGUGAGUAACACGUGGGCAACCUGCCUGUAAGACUGGGAUAACUUCGGGAAACCGAAGCUAAUACCGGAUAGGAUCUUCUCCUUCAUGGGAGAUGAUUGAAAGAUGGUUUCGGCUAUCACUUACAGAUGGGCCCGCGGUGCAUUAGCUAGUUGGUGAGGUAACGGCUCACCAAGGCAACGAUGCAUAGCCGACCUGAGAGGGUGAUCGGCCACACUGGGACUGAGACACGGCCCAGACUCCUACGGGAGGCAGCAGUAGGGAAUCUUCCGCAAUGGACGAAAGUCUGACGGAGCAACGCCGCGUGAGUGAUGAAGGCUUUCGGGUCGUAAAACUCUGUUGUUAGGGAAGAACAAGUACGAGAGUAACUGCUUGUACCUUGACGGUACCUAACCAGAAAGCCACGGCUAACUACGUGCCAGCAGCCGCGGUAAUACGUAGGUGGCAAGCGUUAUCCGGAAUUAUUGGGCGUAAAGCGCGCGCAGGCGGUUUCUUAAGUCUGAUGUGAAAGCCCACGGCUCAACCGUGGAGGGUCAUUGGAAACUGGGGAACUUGAGUGCAGAAGAGAAAAGCGGAAUUCCACGUGUAGCGGUGAAAUGCGUAGAGAUGUGGAGGAACACCAGUGGCGAAGGCGGCUUUUUGGUCUGUAACUGACGC
rnacentral:rRNA from 1 species